rnacentral:rRNA from 1 species
UCCGUAGGUGAACCUGCGGAAGGAUCAUUUACACGAUGUCCAACAUUUCAAACCAGAAUCUUACUGUGAGGACCUCAUUGGGUGAAAAUCUGAUGAGGACUUCAAAGGUGGGGCUUCACACUGCCUCGGCGAGGUGAAGCCCUGCCACCUUUAAACCCUUUGCAACUUCACUAGAAUUGUUAACGCGAUUUCUUUACGAAAUCUUUAUAUCACAACUUUUAGCGAUGGAUGCCUCGGCUCGGGUAACGAUGAAGGACGCAGCAAAAUGCGAUAAGCGCCGUGAAUGGCAGAAUUCCGUGAAUCAAGAGAACGCUGAACGCAUACUGCACUUUUAGGUUACUCCUGAAAGUAUGUCUGUUUCAGGGCGAUAAUGCUUAAAUGCUCUCAAUAUUCAUAUUGCGUGUUGACGCAUGUGAGCUUGGGACGCGUUGUUGUGCGUCAGUGCAUUGGCUCUCGCCCACUGACGCAUUAAAUUGAAGUCUAUUUCUCAGCAAACUUUCGCUGCUUGGUUUUUUAAAUCUCCUAGCGAAAGUGAUGCAGACGAAUGCCUUCUUUCUACUUUUUGCAGAUUAACUUCUGCAAUUGUUGCUUUUCGCAUGAAAUUAGACAAGGCUACCCGCUGAAUUUAAGCAUAUCAAUA